GACGAACGCUGGCGGCGUGCCUAAUACAUGCAAGUCGUGCGGGCCUUGUUAAAAGCUUGCUUUUAACAAGGCUAGCGGCGGACGGGUGAGUAACACGUGGGCAACCUGCCUGUAAGAUCGGGAUAACGCCGGGAAACCGGGGCUAAUACCGGAUAGUUUUUUUCUCCGCAUGGAGGAAAAAGGAAAGGCGGCUUCGGCUGCCACUUACAGAUGGGCCCGCGGCGCAUUAGCUAGUUGGCGGGGUAAUGGCCCACCAAGGCAACGAUGCGUAGCCGACCUGAGAGGGUGAUCGGCCACAUUGGGACUGAGACACGGCCCAAACUCCUACGGGAGGCAGCAGUAGGGAAUCUUCCGCAAUGGACGAAAGUCUGACGGAGCAACGCCGCGUGAGUGAAGAAGGCCUUCGGGUCGUAAAACUCUGUUGCCGGGGAAGAACAAGUGCCGUUCGAACAGGGCGGCGCCUUGACGGUACCCGACCAGAAAGCCACGGCUAACUACGUGCCAGCAGCCGCGGUAAUACGUAGGUGGCAAGCGUUGUCCGGAAUUAUUGGGCGUAAAGCGCGCGCAGGCGGCUUCUUAAGUCUGAUGUGAAAUCUUGCGGCUCAACCGCAAGCGGUCAUUGGAAACUGGGAGGCUUGAGUGCAGAAGAGGAGAGUGGAAUUCCACGUGUAGCGGUGAAAUGCGUAGAGAUGUGGAGGAACACCAGUGGCGAAGGCGGCUCUCUGGUCUGUAACUGACGCUGAGGCGCGAAAGCGUGGGGAGCAAACAGGAUUAGAUACCCUGGUAGUCCACGCCGUAAACGAUGAGUGCUAAGUGUUAGAGGGUUUCCGCCCUUUAGUGCUGCAGCUAACGCAUUAAGCACUCCGCCUGGGGAGUACGGCCGCAAGGCUGA
rnacentral:rRNA from 1 species